AUACGGAGGGUGCGAGCGUUAAUCGGAAUUACUGGGCGUAAAGCGUGCGUAGGCGGUUUGUUAAGUCAGAAGUGAAAGCCCUGGGCUCAACCUGGGAACGGCUUUUGAGACUGGCAGACUAGAGUUGAGUAGAGGGGAGUGGAAUUUCCGGUGUAGCGGUGAAAUGCGUAGAGAUCGGAAGGAACACCAGUGGCGAAGGCGACUCCCUGGACUCAAACUGACGCUGAGGUACGAAAGCGUGGGUAGCAAACGGGAUUAGAAACCCCAGUAGUCC
rnacentral:rRNA from 1 species